AAGAUUAUACCUUCCUGGAUGGUUUCUGCAGUUUAUUACUAGGGAGGUUUAUCGGAACGUGUGCAGCACCGAAAACCCCUGGAGGGCCCAGCGCUCUCUCCCCACCGGACACGGCCCUGGGUGCUGCUUCGCUGCGCCUGCUCUGUGCCAUUGGUGAUGGCUCUUCCCUGCCCCCGGGAGAGGAGGAGGGAGGGACACCAUCCGAGUGGC